rnacentral:rRNA from 1 species
UGAGGAAUAUUGGUCAAUGGACGAGAGUCUGAACCAGCCAAGUCGCGUGAAGGAAGACGGUAUUAUGUAUUGUAAACUUCUUUUGUAAGGGAAUAAAUUGCGGGACGUGUCCUGUAUUGCAUGUACCUUACGAAUAAGCAUCGGCUAACUCCGUGCCAGCAGCCGCGGUAAUACGGAGGAUGCGAGCGUUAUCCGGAUUUAUUGGGUUUAAAGGGUGCGUAGGUUGAUGGUUAAGUCAGCGGUGAAAUCCCGGAGCUCAACUCCGGCACUGCCGUUGAAACUGGUCGUCUUGAGUGUGAACGAGGUAGGCGGAAUUCGUAGUGUAGCGGUGAAAUGCAUAGAUAUUACGAAGAACUCCGAUAGCGCAGGCAGCUUACCAGGCCACAACUGACACUGAAGC